rnacentral:rRNA from 1 species
GACGAACGCUGGCGGCGUGCUUAACACAUGCAAGUCGAACGGACAGGCCCUGCUUGCAGGGUUCUCGAGUGGCGAACGGGUGAGUAACACGUGGGUGAUUUGCCCUGCACUUCGGGAUAAGCCUGGGAAACUGGGUCUAAUACCGGAUAGGAGCCAUUUUUAGUGUGAUGGUUGGAAAGUUUUUUGGGUGUUGGAUGAGCUCGCGGCCUAUCAGCUUGUUGGUGGGGUAAUGGCCUACCAAGGCGGCGGCGGGAAGCCGGCCUGAGGGGGUGGACGGCCACAUUGGGACUGAGAGGCGGCCCAGAUUCCUACGGUAGGCAGCUGUGGGGAAGCUUGCACAAUGGGCGCCAGCCGGAUGCAGCGACGCUGCGUGUCGGAUGACGGUCUUCUGGUUGUAAACUCCUUUCGCUAGUGACGAAGCUUUUCUUGACGGUACCUAGACAAGAAGCACCGGCUAACUACGUG